UCUCUGGUUGCCUUUGCCUCUCUCCUCUCUCUCUCUAAGUCACCAAUAAUACAUAGAUAGAAAACCUAAGUAGCCACUCUCACUCAUGAUUUUGGGCGAUUUAUAGUUAGAUUUUGAAGAUGGUGAAGUUGAAGAAAAGAUAGAUCAAGGCAAGACCUAUCCAUUUUCGUUGGUUUCGUUCACAUGCAUGCUAUAUUUGUUUUGUCUGACUAGUCUCUAAAUACGUACAGUCUUCUAAUUUUUUUGCAUUAGUUGAGCACUUUGUGAAGUCAUUUGAAGCAUUUUGACUAGGAUUUGUCAGGAGAAGCGGACUAAGAAGUUGAAGACCAAAGUACAGGCUUUGCAAUACAUGGAUUUUUUUGUGCAUGCACAAUGGAAAUUAGUUAGUUUUUAGCUCACAAAUUAGCUAUGCGAUGUUCUAAUGCUUGGAAGUUAGUAAACUUUUAAGCCAAGAUAUCUUGUACUUAUAGUACUUCUUUAGAAGAGUACGUUGAAGAUGUUGUAGAUCGAUGUUAGCUCCGUUCAUUAUUACUAUUUUUUCUGACAUGCACGAUGUUGUUAGUGUUGUCAUUAAGUCAUAAUUAGAGAUUGGGUUACAACCGGAAUCUGGACAACAAAUAUUUGACUGUAUUGUAGAUCGGCGUUAGGCCUUUGAAAUGUUUCAAUUUAGUUUGACAUGCAGGAAUAUUUAAAUAUGCUAAGUAAGAAAACAUUUAUGUUGUUACUGGUCAUUGGAUGAUUAAAUGUGUUGUUAUUUCGUGUGCUAUGUUUAUUAAUAAGUUGUAUAGUUAGAAAACCAUAGGUCUAUUUUAUUGUCUCGUAAUAAUCUAAGUUUUGUAUAUUAACUUACCUGGCCGAUGAUAGCAGUGCCAUAUUGUGUUAAUUUGGUGUAGGUUGGUGUUGUUUGGUUGCCCAAACGUUCAUCGUGUCAAUGUUGCUGUCCUAUUAACUGACCUGGCCAAUGAUAGUAGUGCCAUAUUGUGUUAAUUUAAUGCAGGCUGCUGAAGAUAAGAAGAGAAAGUCUCAAGGCAGCAAGGCAACCCCGUUGUUUCUCUCCAAUAAAUCUAGUGCAGGCAAUAUGAAAAUUACUCUUGAUUAAUCUUUCUAGUUUCCCCCUAAUUAAAUUAUGAUGCAAUGAUCGAGACACUCUCCACUAUUGGUGAUACAAGCCUACCAAAAUCGCCAUUAGAAUCUGUUCAGUUUUCUUUGUCACGAAUCAAAUGAAAAAGAUGUACGUUUGUCAAGCAAUUAGUGGCUGAAGCAACAAUGAAAAUCAUGGAGGAAUCAGAGGUGCACAUUCUUGCACAACAACUACUAUUCGAUGAUUUCAGUGACGAUGUAGCAAAGAACAUUUUUUUUCUUAGAUGCUUCACCAUGCCGAUGCCAUCAUCACCACCAUGACUGCACCGUCGCCACCAGAUUGGUCGUGGAGGGACUAGUGUUCUUAUACGGGUUAGGAUGCCAAGGUAAUUCAAGGUGUGAGUAAAAGCCUCAAUCCCGAGUCUUUGCAAUUGAUAGGGGAGUAACAGGUAAACCCAUAUCUGGCUGCAUCCACGGGGAAACCCUUAAUUGACUGUAUGUGAUAACUGGCGUGGGGAAGCUACAAUUGGUGGUGGAUGUGGCAUGAAGUUUAUGUUAGAGUAUAACAUGUUAUGUAUUAGGAACCACCCACUUAUGCAUGCGAAGGAUGGAUAGAGGAUAGGAUAGAGAGCGUUUGCUCCACACAUGUUGCACAUGUCAUUUUUGUAGUGAUGACUUCGAAACACUCAAGAACACUUUACUACCCAAGCACCGUCCUACUAACUUAGUCUAAUUUAUUCCUGCUUUUACCUUCUUGUUCGUAGUGUAGUAAACACUUUUAAUCUAGUUUCUCUAGCAAUUUAUAGAGUAGACUAUUUCCAAACUCUGGUUUGGGUGCAUACGUGACUGCGUUAAGUCACACCGUAGUUGUGGGGUUUGUGGUUCCUUCCUUUCCGCUCCCUAUGGGUUCGACACUUACUUAUCAUGAAAGUUGUACAACAACCCUAUGCACUUGCAUGGCAUCAAGAAACAAUGGCACUGGAAACUAAACAUGGCACUGAAAGUGCAUAAAUCUGAGAAUAAAACAUUACCUGAAGAGACAUUUGAACUAUUCUACCUUAAAAAGACAAAGAAAGAUGGCUUGCUUGGUGACAACCAAAACAUGAUUUAGGCGGGGUUUGGGCAAACACAUUGACCUCGUCCCAUUUGGCAAUUCCGAGACCCAAAAUAAGGUAAGACCUUCAAUGCUCCUAAGAAUUUAAUGAAUAAUUUGGAUGUCCACAUCAAAGCAUGUGGAUAUCGACAAACGGCUUAGAUAAGAAUCUAGGCAUACAAAAACAUGAAACAAAUGAAAAUGAAGCACCAAAACCAAAAGCUUGAAUUAAGUUCACAUGAAAGGAAAAUGAAGAAUGAUGCACGAUGAGCCAGGAGUUCCAAGGCAUCGUUCAUGAAGGAAUCAUUGGUCGAGGACAUGGAAGAAAAAUAAGAAGCUUCACAUGAAGAAAAUGAAUAGUUGAUACGAACAUUGGGAAAGAGUUGGUAAAGUGCAAUUGUAAUGCAAUUCCUUGCCAAAAAGGAUUAGCAUAACGACAAAAUGUUGAGGAUACCACUUGGAAAGGUAUGGAUCCAACAUUUGACAAUGAAGAAACUUCGAGUACACAAAAUAAACCUAAGUGCUAUUGGAAUUCCCAAACCAAGAUUCCAAAAUUUGGUUAUGCAAUCUGGCAUAAUUGAUACAAGGAGCUGCAAGGAGAGGGAUGGGAAUCGGUUAAGAUAUAGAAAAUUGUAGCCGAAACAAUCCAACCGACAAAGAUCUCACUUUCUUAUAUACAACCCCUUUCAACACAUAACCAAAACUUCACAAACUCAUCUACCUCAGACUGUUGAAGCUACAACGAUAUUAGAUCUGGGAUAGUACACCAAGAUCCACCCAGUACCGGCGCCCGCGAGAAAAUAGUAUGGAAACAAUAUAAAAAAACUUACAACCUCAGGCAAUGGAACUGAAACGGUAUCAAAUCUGGCACAUAUACCAACAAGCACAUCAAGAGAACAUGAAAUCCGAUGCAUCAAAAGCUUACCUGAUCUGUAGAAACAUGAGGCAUCAGAUACACCAAAUAUAAGGGUUGUUACACCUCAUCAACUACCCGCAAGAAAUUAAUAUCGCAAUGAUUCUAAAACCCACGAGAAUCUAAAAGGUUUUUGAAGGGGAUAAUGAAUAGAUCACAACACUUCUGUCACACUACCUUACCAGAGGGAGGGCGGGUGGGGAAAGAAGUAAAAAUAAUUCCUACUAUCCAAAAACUACGUGAUAAGAAAUUACCAAAAUUGUUUUUAUAGACUCAACAAUGACCAACAAAGCGAUCCUACAGUCGGUACUUACCUGAUACCAACUUUUAAUGCCCAAGAUGCAAUCAUUGUCUCACCAAAGACUUUGCAAUCCUCGCUAAUACUAGAAGCGCAUAUUAUUUGGCCCAACAUAUGACUUCAAAAAAUACAUGCACUGUCAUAUGCUAGUGAACAGAGGUGGAAUAUCACAACAAGCACAACUAAACAAGAUAGAACAGGUUAAUAUGAGUGAACAAUAGGGCAAACUAUUGGGGAACGUAGUAAUUUCAAAAUUUUCCUAUGCACACGCAAGAUCAUGGUGAUGGCAUAGCAACGAGAGGGGAGAGUAUUGUCCACGUACCCUCGUAGACCGUAAGCGGAAGCGUUAUGACAACGCGGUUGAUGUAGUCGUACGUCUUCACGAUCCGACCGAUCCAAGCACCGAACGUACGGCACCUCCGAGUUCAGCACACGUUCAGCUCGAUGACGAUCCCCAGGCUCCGAUCCAGCAAAGCUUCGGGGUUGAGUUCCGUCAGCAUGACGGCGUGGUGAAGAUGAUGAUGCUCUACCGGCGCAGGGCUUCGCCUAAACUCCGCGACGAUAUGACCGAGGUGGAAUAUGGUGGAGGGGGGCACCGCACACGGCUAAGGAACGAUCCGUAGAUCAACUUGUGUGUUCUGGGGUGCCCCCUGCCCCCGUAUAUAAAGGAGGGAGGGGGGAGGCCGGCCGGCCCUUGUUGGGCACGCCAGGAGGAGGAGUCCUCCUCCUAGUAGGAGUAGGACUCCUCCUUUCCUACUCCUACUAGGAGGGGAAGGAAGGGGGAGAGGAGGGGAAGGAAAGAGGGGGGCACCGCCCCCCUCCUAGUCCAAUUCGGACCAGAGGGAGAGGGGGCACGCGGCCCUUCCUGGCUGCCCCUCUCUCUUCCCACCAAGGCCCAUGUGGCCCAUUAACUCUCCGGGGGGGGUGGGGGUUCCGGUAACCCUCCGGCACUCCGGUUUUCUUCGAAAUCACCUGGAACACUUCCGGUGUCCGAAUAUAGUCGUCCAAUAUAUCAAUCUUUAUGUCUCGACUAUUUUGAGACUCCUCGUCAUGUCCGUGAUCACAUCCGGGACUCCGAACAAACUUCGGUACAUCAAAACUUGUAAACUCAUAAUAAAACUGUCAUCGUAACAUUAAGCGUGCGGACCCUACGGGUUCGAGAACUAUGUAGACAUGACCUAGAACCAUUCUCGGUCAAUAACCAAUAGCGGGACCUGGAUGCCCAUAUUGGUUCCUACAUAUUCUACGAAGAUCUUUAUCGGUCAAACCGCAUAACAACAUACGUUGUUCCCUUUGUCAUCGGUAUGUUACUUGCCCGAGAUUUGAUCAUCGGUAUCCAAUACCUAGUUCAAUCUCGUUACCGGCAAGUCUCUUUACUCGUUCUGUAAUACGUCAUCUCAUAACUAACUUAUUAGUUAUAAUGCUUGCAAGGCUUAAGUGAUGAGUAUUACCGAGAGGGCCCAGAGAUACCUCUCCGACAAUCAGAGUGACAAAACCUAAUCUCGAAAUACACCAACUCAACAUGUACCUUCGGAGACACCUGUAGUACUCCUUUAUAAUCACCCAGUUACAUUGUGACGUUUGGUAGUACCCAAAGUGUUCCGCCGGUAAAUGGGAGUUGCAUAUUUCUCAUAGUUACAGGAACAUGUAUAAGUCAUGAAGAAAGCAAUAGCAGUAUACUAAACGAUCAAGUGCUAGGCUAACGGAAUGGGUCAUGUCAAUCACAUCAUUCUUCUAAUGGUGUGAUCUCAUCAAUCAAAUGACAACACAUGUCUAUGGUUAGGAAACAUAACCAUCUUUGAUUAAUGAGCUAGUCAAGUAGAGGCAUACUAGUGACUAUAUGUUUGUCUAUGUAUUCACACAUGUAUCAUGUUUCCGGUUAAUACAAUUCUAGCAUGAAUAAUAAACAUUUAUCAUGAUAUGAGGAAAUAAAUAAUAACUUUAUUAUUGCCUCUAGGGCAUAUUUCCUUCAGUCUCCCACUUGCACUAGAGUCAAUAAUCUAGAUUACAUAGUAAUGAUUCUAACACCCAUGGAGUCUUGGUGUUGAUCAUGUUUUGCUCGUGAGAGAGGCUUAGUCAAUGGGUCUGCAACAUUCAGAUCCGUAUGUAUUUUGCAAAUCUCUAUGUCUCCCACUUGGACUUGAUCCCGAAUGGAAUUGAAGCGUCUUUUGAUGUGCUUGGUCCUCUUGUGAAAUCUGGAUUCCUUUGCCAAAGCAAUUGCACCAGUAUUGUCACAGAAGAUCUUCAUUGGUCCCGAUGCACUAGGUAUGACACCUAGAUCGGUAAUGAACUCCUUCAUCCAGACUCCUUCAUUUGCUGCUUCAGAAGCAGCUAUGUACUCCGCUUCACAUGUAGAUCCCGCCACGACGCUUUAUUUAGAACUGCACCAACUUACAGCUCCACCGUUUAAUAAAAACACGUAUCCGGUUUGCGAUUUAGAAUCGUCUGGAUCAGUGUCAAAGCUUGCAUCAACGUAACCAUUUACGACUAGCUCUUUGUCACCUCCAUAUACGAGAAACAUAUCCUUAGUCCUUUUCAGGUAUUUCAGGAUGUUCUUGACCGCUGUCCAGUGAUCCACUCCUGGAUUACUUUGGUACCUUCCUGCCAAGCUUAUUGCUAAGCAUACGUCAGGUCUAGUACACAGCAUUGCAUACAUGAAAGAGCCUAUGGCUGAAGCAAAGGGAACAUCUUUCAUUUUCUCUCUAUCUUCUGCUGUGGUCGGGCAUUGAGUUUGACUCAACUUCACACCUUGUAGCACAGGCAAGAAACCUUUCUUUGCCUGAUCCAUUUUGAACUUUUUCAAAAUUUUGUCAAGGUAUGUGCUUUGUGAAAGUCCUAUUAAGCGUCUUGAUCUAUCUCUAUAGAUCCUGAUGCCCAAUAUGUAAGCAGCUUCACCGAGGUCUUUCAUUGAAAAACUUCUAUUCAAGUAUCCCUUUAUGCUAUCCAGAAAUUCUAUAUCAUUUCCAAUUAAUAAUAUGUCAUCUACAUAUAAAAUCAGAAAUGCUACAGAGAUCCCACUCACUUUCUUGUAAAUACAGGCUUCUCCAAAAGUCUGUAUAAAACCAUAUGCUUUGAUCACACUAUCAAAACGUUUAUUCCUACUCCGAGAUGCUUGCACCAAUCCAUAAAUGGAUCGCUGGAGCUUGCACACUUUGUUAGCACCUUUUGGAUCAACAAAACCUUCUGGUUGCAUCAUAUACAACUCUUCUUCCAGAAAUCCAUUCAAGAAUGCAGUUUUGACAUCCAUUUGCCAAAUUUCAUAAUCAUGAAAUGCAGCAAUAGCUAACAUGAUUCGGACAGACUUAAGCAUCGCUACGGGUGAGAAAGUCUCAUCGUAGUCAACCCCUUGAACUUGUCGAAAACCUUUUGCAACAAGUCGAGCUUUAUAGACAGUUAUAUUACCAUCAGCGUCAGUCUUCUUCUUAAAGAUCCAUUUAUUCUCAAUGGCUUGCCGAUCAUCGGGCAAGUCAACCAAAGUCCAUACUUUGUUUUCGUACAUGGAUCCCAUCUCAGAUUUCAUGGCCUCUAGCCAUUUUGCGGAAUCUGGGCUCAUCAUCGCUUCCUCAUAGUUUGUAGGUUCACCAUGGUCAAGUAACAUGACUUCCAGAAUAGGACUACCGUACCAUUCUGGUGCGGAUCUUACUCUAGUAGACCUACGAGGUUCAGUAGAAACUUGAUCUGAAGUUUCAUGAUCAAUAUCAUUAGCUUCCUCACUAGUUGGUGUAGUUGUCACAGGAACCGGUUCUUAUGAUGAACUACUUUCCAACAAGGGAGUAGAUACAGUUAUCUCAUCAAGUUCUACUUUCCUCCCACUCACUUCUUUCGAGAGAAACUCCUUCUCUAGAAAGGAUCCGAUUUUAGCAACGAAAAUCUUGCCCUCAGAUCUGUGAUAGAAGGUGUACCCAAUAGUCUCUUUUGGGUAUCCUAUAAAGACAAAUUUCUCCGAUUUGGGUUCAAGCUUAUCUGGUUGAAGUUUCUUCACAUAAGCAUCGCAGCCCCAAACUUUAAGAAACGACAACUUUGGUUUCUUGCCAAACCACAGUUCAUAAGGUGUUGUCUCAACGGAUUUUGAUGGUGCCCUAUUUAACGUGAAUGCGGCCGUCUCUAAAGCAUAACCCCAAAACGAUAGCGGUAAAUCAGUAAGAGACAUCAUAGAUCGCACCAUAUCUAGUAAAGUACGAUUACGACGUUCGGACACACCAUUUCGUUGUGGUGUUCCGGGUGGCGUGAGUUGCGAAACUAUUCCGCAUUGUUUCAAGUGUAGACCAAACUCGUAACUUAAAUAUUCUCCUCCACGAUCAGAUCGUAGAAACUUUAUUUUCUUGUUACGAUGAUUUUCCGCUUCACUCUGAAAUUCUUUGAACUUUUCAAAUGUUUCAGACUUGUGUUUCAUUAAGUAGAUAUACCCAUAUCUGCUCAAAUCAUCUGUGAAGGUGAGAAAAUAACGAUACCCGCCGCGAGCCUCAACAUUCAUUGGACCACAAACAUCAGUAUGUAUGAUCUCCAACAAAUCAGUUGCUCGCUCCAUAGUUCCGGAGAACGGCGUUUUAGUCAUCUUGCCCAUGAGGCACGGUUCGCAAGUACCAAGUGAUUCAUAAUCAAGUGAUUCCAAAAGCCCAUCAGUAUGGAGUUUCUUCAUGCACUUUACACCGAUAUGACCUAAACGGCAGUGCCACAAAUAAGUUGCACUAUCGUUAUCAACUCUGCAUCUUUUGGUUUCAACACUAUGAAUAUGUGUAUCACUACUAUCGAGAUUCAAUAAAAAUAGACCACUCUUCAAGGGUGCAUGACCAUAAAAGAUAUUACUCAUAUAAAUAGAACAACCAUUAUUCUCUGAUUUAAAUGAAUAACCGUCUCGCAUCAAACAAGAUCCAAAUAUAAUGUUCAUGCUCAAUGCUAGCACCAAAUAACAAUUAUUUAGGUCUAAUACUAAUCCCGAUGGUAGAUGUAGAGGUAGCGUGCCAACCGCGAUCACAUCGACUUUGGAACCAUUUCCCACGCGCAUCGUCACCUCGUCCUUAGCUAAUCUUCGCUUAAUCCGUAGUCCCUGUUUCGAGUUGCAAAUAUUAGCAACAGAACCAGUAUCAAAUACCCAGGUGCUACUGCGAGCAUUAGUAAGGUACACAUCAAUAACAUGUAUAUCACAUAUACCUUUGUUCACUUUGCCAUCCUUCUUAUCCGCCAAAUACUUGGGGCAGUUCCGCUUCCAGUGUCCAGUCUGCUUGCAGUAGAAGCACUCAGUUUCAGGCUUAGGUCCAGACUUGGGUUUCUUCUCUUGAGCAGCAACUUGCUUGCCGUUCUUUUUGAAGUUCCCCUUCUUCUUCCCUUUGCCCUUUUUCUUGAAACUGGUGGUCUUGUUAACCAUCAACACUUGAUGCUCCUUCUUGAUUUCUACCUCCGCAGCUUUUAGCAUUGCGAAGAGAUCGGGAAUAGUUUUGUUCAUCCCUUGCAUAUUAUAGUUCAUCACGAAGCUCUUGUAGCUUGGUGGCAGUGAUUGGAGAAUUCUGUCAAUGACACUAUCAUCAGGAAGAUUAACUCCCAGUUGAAUCAAGUGAUUAUUAUACCCAGACAUUUUGAGUAUGUGUUCACUGACAGAACUAUUCUCCUCCAUCUUGCAGCUGUAGAACUUAUUGGAGACUUCAUAUCUCUCAAUCCGGGCAUUUGCUUGAAAUAUUAACUUCAACUCCUGGAACAUCUCAUAUGCUCCAUGACGUUCAAAACGUCGUUGAAGACCCGGUUCUAAGCCGUAAAGCAUGGCACACUGAACUAUAGAGUAGUCAUCAGCUUUGCUCUGCCAGACGUUCUUAACGUCGUCAGUUGCAUCAGCAGCAGGCCUGGCACCCAGCGGUGCUUCCAGGACGUAACUUUUCUGUGCAGCAAUGAGGAUAAUCCUCAGGUUACGGACCCAGUCCGUGUAAUUGCUACCAUCAUCUUUCAACUUUGCUUUCUCAAGGAACGCAUUAAAAUUCAAUGGAACAACAGCACGAGCCAUCUAUCUACAAACAAACAUAGACAAGCAAAAUACUAUCAGGUACUAAGUUCAUGAUAAAUUUAAGUUCAAUUAGUCAUAUUACUUAAGAACUCCCACUUAGACAGACAUCUCUCUAGUCAUCUAAGUGAUCACAUGAUCCAAAUCAACUAAACCAUGUCCAAUCAUCACGUGAGAUAGAGUAGUUUCAAUGGUGAACAUCACUAUGUUGAUCAUAUCUACUAUAUGAUUCACGUUCGACCUUUCGGUCUCCGUGUUCCGAGGCCAUAUCUGUAUAUGCUAGGCUCGUCAAGUAUGACCUGAGUAUUCCGCGUGUGCAACUGUUUUGCACCCGUUGUAUUUGAACGUAGAGCCUAUCACACCCGAUCAUCAUGUGGUGUCUCAGCACGAAGAACUUUCGCAAUGGUGCAUACUCAGGGAGAACACUUCUUGAUUAUUCAGUGAGAGAUCAUCUUAAAAUGCUACCGUCAAUCAAAGCAAGAUAAGAUGCAUAAAUAAACAUCACAUGCAAUCAAUAUAAGUGAUAUGAUAUGGCCAUCAUCAUCUUGUGCUUGUGAUCUCCAUCUUCGAAGCACCGUCAUGAUCACCAUCGUCACCGGCGCGACACCUUGAUCUUCAUCGUAGCAUCGUUGUCAUUAUGCCAUCUAUUGCUUCUACGACUAUCGCUACUGCUUAGUGAUAAAGUAAAGCAAUUACAGGGCGUUUGCAUUUCAUACAAUAAAGCGACAACCAUAUGGCUCCUGCCAGUUGCCGAUAACUUCGGUUACAAAACAUGAUCAUCUCAUACAAUAAAAUAUAGCAUCACGUCUUGACCAUAUCACAUCACAACAUGCCCUGCAAAAACAAGUUAGACGUCCUCUACUUUGUUGUUGCAAAUUUUACGUGGCUGCUACGGGCUUAGCAAGAACCGUUCUUACCUACGCAUCAAAACCACAACGAUAGUUUGUCAAGUUGGUGCUGUUUUAACCUUCGCAAGGACCGGGCGUAGCCACACUCGGUUCACCUAAAGUGAGAGAGACAGACACCCGCCGGUCACCUUUAAGCAACGAGUGCUCGUAGCGGUGAAACCAGUCUCGCGUAAGCGUACGCGUAAUGUCGGUCCGGGCCGCUUCAUCUCACAAUGCCGCUGAACCAAAGUAUGACAUGCUAGUAAGCAGUAUGACUUAUAUCGCCCACAACUCACUUGUGUUCUACUCGUGCAUAUAACAUUAACGCAUAAAACCUAGGCUCGGAUGCCACUGUUGGGGAACGUAGUAAUUUCAAAAUUUUCCUACGCACACGCAAGAUCAUGGUGAUGGCAUAGCAACGAGAGGGGAGAGUAUUGUCCACGUACCCUCGUAGACCGUAAGCGGAAGCGUUAUGACAACGCGGUUGAUGUAGUCGUACGUCUUCACGAUCCGACCGAUCCAAGCACCGAACGUACGGCACCUCCGAGUUCAGCACACGUUCAGCUCGAUGACGAUCCCCGGGCUCCGAUCCAGCAAAGCUUCGGGGUUGAGUUCCGUCAGCACGACGGCGUGGUGACGAUGAUGAUGCUCUACCAGCACAGGGCUUCGCCUAAACUCCGCGACGAUAUGACCGAGGUGGAAUAUGGUGGAGGGGGGCACCGCACACGGCUAAGGAACGAUCCGUAGAUCAACUUGUGUGUUCUGGGGUGCCCCCCUGCCCUCGUAUAUAAAGGAGGGAGGGGGAGGCCGGCCGGCCCUUGUUGGGCGCGCCAGGAGGAGGAGUCCUCCUCCUAGUAGGAGUAGGACUCCUCCUUUCCUACUCCUACCAGGAGGGGAAGGAAGGGGGAGAGGAGGGGAAGGAAAGAGGGGGGCACCAUCCCCCCCUCCUAGUNNNNNNNNNNNNNNNNNNNNNNNNNNNNNNNNNNNNNNNNNNNNNNNNNNNNNNNNNNNNNNNNNNNNNNNNNNNNNNNNNNNNNNNNNNNNNNNNNNNNNNNNNNNNNNNNNNNNNNNNNNNNNNNNNNNNNNNNNNNNNNNNNNNNNNNNNNNNNNNNNNNNNNNNNNNNNNNNNNNNNNNNNNNNNNNNNNNNNNNNNNNNNNNNNNNNNNNNNNNNNNNNNNNNNNNNNNNNNNNNNNNNNNNNNNNNNNNNNNNNNNNNNNNNNNNNNNNNNNNNNNNNNNNNNNNNNNNNNNNNNNNNNNNNNNNNNNNNNNNNNNNNNNNNNNNNNNNNNNNNNNNNNNNNNNNNNNNNNNNNNNNNNNNNAACACUUCCGGUGUCCGAAUAUAGUCGUCCAAUAUAUCAAUCUUUAUGUCUCGACCAUUUUGAGACUCCUCGUCAUGUCCGUGAUCACAUCCGGGACUCCGAACAAACUUCGGUACAUCAAAACUUGUAAACUCAUAAUAAAACUGUCAUCGUAACGUUAAGCGUGCGGACCCUACGGGUUCGAGAACUAUGUAGACAUGACCUAGAACCAUUCUCGGUCAAUAACCAAUAGCGGGACCUGGAUGCCCAUAUUGGUUCCUACAUAUUCUAUGAAGAUCUUUAUCGGUCAAACCGCAUAACAACAUACGUUGUUCCCUUUGUCAUCGGUAUGUUACUUGCCCGAGAUUUGAUCGUCGGUAUCCAAUACCUAGUUCAAUCUCGUUACCGGCAAGUCUCUUUACUCGUUCUGUAAUACGUCAUCUCAUAACUAACUUAUUAGUUAUAAUGCUUGCAAGGCUUAAGUGAUGAGUAUUACCGAGAGGGCCCAGAGAUACCUCUCCGACAAUCGGAGUGACAAAACCUAAUCUCGAAAUACACCAACUCAACAUGUACCUUCGGAGACACCUGUAGUACUCCUUUAUAAUCACCCAGUUACGUUGUGACGUUUGGUAGUACCCAAAGUGUUGCUCCGGUAAACGGGAGUUGCAUAUUUCUCAUAGUUACAGGAACAUGUAUAAGUCAUGAAGAAAGCAAUAGCAGUAUACUAAACGAUCAAGUGCUAGGCUAACAGAAUGGGUCAUGUCAAUCACAUCAUUCUUCUAAUGAUGUGAUCUCAUCAAUCAAAUGACAACACAUGUCUAUGGUUAGGAAACAUAACCAUCUUUGAUUAAUGAGCUAGUCAAGUAGAGGCAUACUAGUGACUAUAUGUUUGUCUAUGUAUUCACACAUGUAUCAUGUUUCCGGUUAAUACAAUUCUAGCAUGAAUAAUAAACAUUUAUCAUGAUAUGAGGAAAUAAAUAAUAACUUUAUUAUUGCCUCUAGGGCAUAUUUCCUUCACAAACAUAUGCCAAUAUGAUAACAUAGUUAAACACCAAUCAGAUGUCACAUGACCCAAUAUUACCACAUGCAGAAGAAGAAUUAGAACAUGGGUCUAAGUACAGACGAGAACCAAUUUUGCCUAAAGAGGCUCGAACAUAAGCAAACACCCCAUAGCCAACGGGUUCCAGGAUGCCGUCUGGGAUCCUUAUCUCUAGUAGUCAUCGUUGAAGAAGAACUCCAUGUAGAACGUUCCAUGCUCUCACCUUAGAGCAAAGCUUUACCCAAACCUAUACCUACAUGUGGGGUUGAUGUGGCAAGGGUAAGUCCAUUGGACUCACCUUGAGCACCUCGGGUAAGACUAACAAUACUCAUGGGUUGGAUAUGAAUAAGUGGUUGAUACGUCUCCAACGUAUCUAUAUUUUUUUAUUGUUUCAUGCUAUUAUAUUAUCAACCUUAGAUACUUUAUAUGCAAUUUUAUAUCAUUUUUACAAACGAACCUAUUAACUCAGUGCCCAGUAUCAGUUCCUAUUUUUGCCCUAUUUUAUUGUUCUGCAAAAAAAAGUACCAAAGAAAGUCCAAACCCGAUGAAACUUUACAGUGAUUUUUUAUGGACCAGAAGGGACCCUAGAAGCUUCGGAAGGAGGCCAAAAUACAUAUGGGAGAGGCACAAUCUCACUCGACGCACCCCC
rnacentral:lncRNA from 1 species